CCAGAAUGGGCUUGCUUGUCGUGCUAUUUCCAGACAUAACAUACACCACUGGGACAACUGUCUCAGUUUGCUUCAUCUCUGGAAUGGAGAUGGUUUCCUAUGUGAUCAUGAAAAUUUCUCCCAGCUCUGAAGACCUUUUAUUUUGUAAGAAUCAUUGUGAAGGUAUGGGCUUGGCAAAUGAAUGGAAAGAUGAGCAAUGGGAGAGGAAAGAAUUGAAGAGGGCUGUGAAGUUUGAAGAAUGGCAUCCCCCAUGAAGUGGCGCUGAAAGAUCACGUUAGCACAGUUCCAUGAUGUGAAAUACCACAAGUCUGCAAUUUUUCGGUCUUGAGAGUGUCGCUGGGCUGAGAGGAUGGAAAUCUUUCAGUAAUUAUACCAGUUUGUAUUCGUCUCACAUUUGGGACCAAAUACAAAUCCGAUCCACUCUUUCUCCCUGUGAAUAUUCAUAAAAAACAAAGUGCCAAUUCUGGUCUAAUCAUGUAUGGAACCAAAUAUGUUGAUGAGUCCUAAGUAUAUACUGUAUGUAUGUAUACAUAUGAAUAUAUAUAUUUGUACACACUAAUUUUGCUUGUGUCCUCCUCUGUGCAAUUUG
rnacentral:lncRNA from 1 species